CCGGUUUUGGCAAGACGAACGACAGUGGAGGACGAGGAUGUUCCAUGGGAAAACAAGCAGUUUGCUGCCGGCGAGGUUUCUUGUCGGAAACCGAAACUGUUUGGUAACUUAACAGUUUUGUAGCGUCGGCGGCUGACGUUAGCAAAAGCGGCAUCGAAUCAAUCGUCUUUUUUUAUCAGCGUGGUGUGACAGGACACGUCAGCGUGAAAUUAGCAUAUCGAGCUCAGUAUUUCGAGGUGAUCCUUGUUCUGCAGUGGUCAUCUUCUAGGUCUGUGUAUCCUGUUUCUUCAAAUCCGCAAGUAGGAUUUCUAGUUCCGGAAUUAUCUAUCUGUUAAAUGGAGAGAGCAACAGAAGAUAGAAGAGGCUUUACAUGCCAGUAGUCUCUAAGUGCCUCGAAGGCACCUGAAAUGUCAGUGGGAUAACUUGAUGUUAAUGGAAAAAAAACAAACUUGGAUGCUUGUGAGAACCUUGACAUCUGGAGACAGCUUUGGCGUGUGCUUGAACGUAGUGAUUUGGUAAGUCUUUGUCAAAGGUGUAUUAUUAAUACGCUCACUCAUAUUUCUUGGUUUUUAAAUUAAUUACACUGUUCUACCGUUGCCCUGAUCUUGAGGUAAUGCAUCCAACCUUUAAACUCCACUGUGACACCGUAUUCCUGAUCCAUAUCUCUUAUUUAUAGAUUCGUCCUGACACACAGGCAUAUGCUCGAGAAAUCGAUGAGCAUAAAAAAGUUUAUGC